ensembl:lncRNA
UCUGUGGACAAGCAAGUGCUAAAGCCAUCAGGUGGGAGCAGGGAUGGGGAGAGCAGCGGGAAGCCAGCAGGGGGUGCGUGGCGACGUUGUGAGGGUGCUGCGACCAGGAGCGCCUUGGAGACCGCAGGGAGGACUGGUGCUGUAUUCCGAGCAGGCACGAAGUAGGGGUGGGGUGGGCGGGGCUCGCUCACGCUGGCCUGGUUCCUUCUCAGCCCUGUCCAGUGGCAUCUCACAGAGCUUGAGCUCAGCCCAGGCGGGAGGCUACGCCACGGCCACGGCAGACACUGCUCCUGGAGACGCUGAGGCCGAGCCCCGCCCGCCCGCCGGUUCCGGGGUUCACACCGCUGGGAUGAAAAAAGAAAACCCAGACUCUGGGAUGCGGUCAUUGUGCCCUGGCCAGGCUUGUGCAUGCCACAGAGCAAACCCAAGAGGUGGCCGCGGAGGGACAGGAAGGUGCCAAGAACCAGCGAGCAAGCCCGGUGACAUCCUGCCCCGCCAGCCAGCUGGGCCCGAGCUGAGCACCCACGGACUGCCCGGAUUCGGAGCCGCUAGACUGUGCCUAAGCCGGGGCCGGGAGCCACGCAGGAGAGGACCCAGGCCGCAGUGCGGGCACCCGGGGGUCCCGAAGCUGCCCACCAAGCCCGAGCGUCCGCAGGCGCCCCUCCCGCCGCGGACCUGUUCUGAUCCCAGGCCCUGUGUUUGUUCCUUCGUGCCCUCUGUCCCCAGGCUGGGGCCCGGGGGGGGGUGGGGUGUCAGAGGAGCCACUCAACUUCUACGCAGGCUGCAGGGGUGGGGGGGGGGGUGGGGGGUGCGCAGUGGCCCGGGGCGUACCUGGGGGGCGUGCUUGGGAGUGGGGGGUGGGUGGGUGGGGUGGAGUGGGAAGUGCCGGGCUCCUGAGAAUGUUCCAGAAACAGCAGGAAAUGGCUGGGAGGGAGAAUCAGAGACCCAGGGGCCUGGGGCUGGGGACCGGCAAGCAGUCUCACCGCUGUUCCCUCUUCAGUCACCCCUCGGGAUGGGCAAGUAGUCCAUUCAUUCAUUCACCCAGGCAGUUAUUCAUUUCCUAAAAAUAUUUUUUAAAAGUUUAUUUGAGAAGGCAGAGUUACAGCGAGAGAGAGAGAGAGGGAGAAUCUUGCACCUGCUGGUUCACUCCCCAAAUGGCCGAAAUGGCCAGGCCUGGUCCAGGCUGAAGCCAGGAUCCUGGAACCCCUCCAGGUCUCAUGGUCAGUGGCAGGGGCCCAGCGCCUGGGCCAUCUUCCGCUGCUUUCCCUUUCAGGCUCAUCAGCAGGGAGCCGGAUGGGACGUGGAGCAGCUGGUUCUCGAACUGGUGCCCUUAUGGGGUGCUGGUGCCACAGGCGGCGGCUUCCUCUGCUGCGCCCCACGCACGCACGCUCAUCUACCUGUCCAUUCACCUAUCUACCAUGCAGUUAUCCAUCCGCCCAUCUGUCCGUCCGUCCAUCCAUCUACCCAUCCACCAGUCUGUCCAUCCGUCCGUCUACCCAGCCAUCUCUGUCCGUCCGUCCGCUCAGCCGCCAGCAGUCGCAGUCACACACGGAGGGCUUGCUGCCUGCAGACACAGCCGGCCCUGGGGACCCCCAGGCACCUUCCCGGGCACCCCCGGAGCGUCAGUUAUGGGAAGACAAGGCACACGCACUUCCUCCCCUCCUCCCCCACGCCGGUGCGGAAAGACCUUCUGAGGCCUCGUGUGGGCCCCCAGGGAGUGUGGGUGGAAAGCCAGCCUGCUCCUGCGGCAGCGGCUCUCCUAUUGGGCGCCUCCUGUAUGCCCGCCGGUACCCUGGAGGCCUCGCCCCGCACUCAUCUUGCACACCAGGCACGGAGACCCCGGGCAGGCGGCCGAGCGCGCAGAUCCUCGGGUCCGAGGGGCUUGGGCGGGACGGCCCAGGAGGCCGCCCAGCGCUUGGCCUGGGGCCUGACAGUCUCUCUCUCUCUCUCUCUCUCUCUCUCUCUCUCUCUCUCUCUCUCUCUCGGCCGAGAUCUAACAACCUGCGGGCGAGAGGGAUUUCUGC